rnacentral:rRNA from 1 species
UUAAGUUAUUAAGGGCGCACGGUGGAUGCCUUGGCACUAGAAGCCGAUGAAGGACGUUACUAACGACGAUAUGCUUUGGGGAGCUGUAAGUAAGCUUUGAUCCAGAGAUUUCCGAAUGGGGAAACCCAGCAUGAGUUAUGUCAUGUUAUCGAUAUGUGAAUACAUAGCAUAUCAGAAGGCACACCCGGAGAACUGAAACAUCUUAGUACCCGGAGGAAGAGAAAGAAAAUUCGAUUCCCUUAGUAGCGGCGAGCGAAACGGGAAGAGCCCAAACCAACAAGCUUGCUUGUUGGGGUUGUAGGACACUCUAUACGGAGUUACAAAGGACGACAUUAGACGAAUCAUCUGGAAAGAUGAAUCAAAGAAGGUAAUAAUCCUGUAGUCGAAAAUGUUGUCUCUCUUGAGUGGAUCCUGAGUACGACGGAGCACGUGAAAUUCCGUCGGAAUCUGGGAGGACCAUCUCCUAAGGCUAAAUACUCUCUAGUGACCGAUAGUGAACCAGUACCGUGAGGGAAAGGUGAAAAGCACCCCGGAAGGGGAGUGAAAUAGAACCUGAAACCGUGUGCUUACAAGUAGUCAGAGCCCGUUAAUGGGUGAUGGCGUGCCUUUUGUAGAAUGAACCGGCGAGUUACGAUUUGAUGCAAGGUUAAGCAGUAAAUGUGGAGCCGUAGCGAAAGCGAGUCUGAAUAGGGCGUUUAGUAUUUGGUCGUAGACCCGAAACCAGGUGAUCUACCCUUGGUCAGGUUGAAGUUCAGGUAACACUGAAUGGAGGACCGAACCGACUUACGUUGAAAAGUGAGCGGAUGAACUGAGGGUAGCGGAGAAAUUCCAAUCGAACCUGGAGAUAGCUGGUUCUCUCCGAAAUAGCUUUAGGGCUAGCCUCAAGUGAUGAUUAUUGGAGGUAGAGCACUGUUUGGACGAGGGGCCCCUCUCGGGUUACCGAAUUCAGACAAACUCCGAAUGCCAAUUAAUUUAACUUGGGAGUCAGAACAUGGGUGAUAAGGUCCGUGUUCGAAAGGGAAACAGCCCAGACCACCAGCUAAGGUCCCAAAAUAUAUGUUAAGUGGAAAAGGAUGUGGCGUUGCCCAGACAACUAGGAUGUUGGCUUAGAAGCAGCCAUCAUUUAAAGAGUGCGUAAUAGCUCACUAGUCGAGUGACACUGCGCCGAAAAUGUACCGGGGCUAAACAUAUUACCGAAGCUGUGGAUUGUCCUUUGGACAAUGGUAGGAGAGCGUUCUAAGGGCGUUGAAGCAUGAUCGUAAGGACAUGUGGAGCGCUUAGAAGUGAGAAUGCCGGUGUGAGUAGCGAAAGACGGGUGAGAAUCCCGUCCACCGAUUGACUAAGGUUUCCAGAGGAAGGCUCGUCCGCUCUGGGUUAGUCGGGUCCUAAGCUGAGGCCGACAGGCGUAGGCGAUGGAUAACAGGUUGAUAUUCCUGUACCACCUAUAAUCGUUUUAAUCGAUGGGGGGACGCAGUAGGAUAGGCGAAGCGUGCGAUUGGAUUGCACGUCUAAGCAGUAAGGCUGAGUAUUAGGCAAAUCCGGUACUCGUUAAGGCUGAGCUGUGAUGGGGAGAAGACAUUGUGUCUUCGAGUCGUUGAUUUCACACUGCCGAGAAAAGCCUCUAGAUAGAAAAUAGGUGCCCGUACCGCAAACCGACACAGGUAGUCAAGAUGAGAAUUCUAAGGUGAGCGAGCGAACUCUCGUUAAGGAACUCGGCAAAAUGACCCCGUAACUUCGGGAGAAGGGGUGCUCUUUAGGGUUAACGCCCAGAAGAGCCGCAGUGAAUAGGCCCAAGCGACUGUUUAUCAAAAACACAGGUCUCUGCUAAACCGUAAGGUGAUGUAUAGGGGCUGACGCCUGCCCGGUGCUGGAAGGUUAAGAGGAGUGGUUAGCUUCUGCGAAGCUACGAAUCGAAGCCCCAGUAAACGGCGGCCGUAACUAUAACGGUCCUAAGGUAGCGAAAUUCCUUGUCGGGUAAGUUCCGACCCGCACGAAAGGCGUAACGAUUUGGGCACUGUCUCAACGAGAGACUCGGUGAAAUCAUAGUACCUGUGAAGAUGCAGGUUACCCGCGACAGGACGGAAAGACCCCGUGGAGCUUUACUGUAGCCUGAUAUUGAAAUUCGGCACAGCUUGUACAGGAUAGGUAGGAGCCUUUGAAACGUGAGCGCUAGCUUACGUGGAGGCGCUGGUGGGAUACUACCCUAG